rnacentral:rRNA from 1 species
UACGAAGGGUGCAAACGUUGCUCGGAAUUAUUGGGCGUAAAGCGCACGUAGGCGGCUUGGCAAGUCGGAUGUGAAAGCCCUGGGCUCAACCCAGGAAGUGCAUUCGAAACUGCAGAGCUGGAGUCCUGGAGAGGAAGGCGGAAUUCUCGGUGUAGAGGUGAAAUUCGUAGAUAUCGAGAGGAACACCGGUGGCGAAGGCGGCCUUCUGGACAGUGACUGACGCUGAGACGCGAAAGCGUGGGGAGCAAACAGG